UCUAAAUAAAACAGAAUUUCCUACUAAUUAAGAAGCCCUAAAUUAUUACAAUAAAGCUAGCAAUAAAUGGCUCUUGCUAUGUCUAACAGCAAAGUGGCCAUGCUUCUUGUGCUCUGUCUUUUCCUCAUCAUCUCCUCCACUGAAAGCAGACAACUCGGCACUGGGAAUGGCAAACCGAGCUGCGACUUUACUUAUGCAGUAAAACCUGCUGAUACUUGCGCUGAUGUGAUUGAAGAUUUCGCUCUGGAUUCGGACUUCUUCUUUUCAAUCAAUCCUAACAUCAACUGCGACGCUCUCUUUGUCGAUCAAUGGCUAUGUGUCAGUGGGUCAGCAUAGUAUGCCGCUGCAGCUUGCAGGCGGACUCGAGUUCAAGGAUUCAAGCAAAGAGUUAAAUUAAAACUGAGUAAUAAAUAGAACAAAUUAAGGAUCUUCGUAACAUUAUCUUGGUGCAUGUUAUGUUAUUUUGAGCAUGGAAUGAUAUGAUUGACGCUACCGAUUUA